rnacentral:rRNA from 1 species
GUGCCAGCAGCCGCGGUAAUACGAAGGGGGCUAGCGUUGCUCGGAAUUACUGGGCGUAAAGGGAGCGUAGGCGGGUUAUCAAGUUGGAGGUGAAAGCCCAGGGCUCAACCUUGGAAUUGCCUUCAAAACUGAUAGCCUAGAGUAUGAUAGAGGUAAGUGGAACUCCGAGUGUAGAGGUGAAAUUCGUAGAUAUUCGGAAGAACACCAGUGGCGAAGGCGACUUACUGGAUCAUGACUGACGCUGAGGCUCGAAAGCGUGGGGAGCAAACAGGAUUAGAUACCCUGGUAGUCC